GGUCGCAUUGCUUAGAUGGCAAAGCGCCUGCAUAGUAAGCAGGAGAUUACGAUUUCGAGUCUCUUUGGGACCA
rnacentral:tRNA from 1 species